CCCUUAGAUGUCCUGGGCCGCACGCGCGCUACACUGAGUGUCUGAGAUACGAGUCUGCCUGGUCCGGCAAGGUCUAGGUAAUCGCUAAAAGACACAUCAUGCUUGGGAUAGAUUAUUGCAAAUAUUAAUCUUGAACGAGGAAUUCCUAGUAAGCGCAAGUCAAUAGCUUGCGUUGAUUACGUCCCUGCCCUUUGUACACACCGCCCGUCGCUACUACUGAUUGGAUGUUUAAGCGAGGUUCUCGAACUGCUAGCGACUUAGCUUCGGUGAGGUCGCAGUGUGGGAAGUGAACCUAGCUUUGGUGUCUAGAGGAAGUAAAAGUCGUAACA
rnacentral:rRNA from 1 species